rnacentral:rRNA from 1 species
UACGUAGGGUGCGAGCGUUAAUCGGAAUUACUGGGCGUAAAGCGUGCGCAGGCGGUUCGUUGUGUCGGCGGUGAAAGCCCCGGGCUUAACCUGGGAAUGGCCGUCGAAACUGGCGAACUGGAGUGUGGCAGAGGGGGGGUGGAAUUCCACGUGUAGCAGUGAAAUGCGUAGAGAUGUGGAGGAACACCGAUGGCGAAGGCAGCCCCCCUGGGUCAAGACUGACGCUCAUGCACGAAAGCGUGGGGAGCAAACAGG